UGGGGAAUUUUGGACAAUGGGCGCAAGCCUGAUCCAGCCAUGCCGCGUGUCUGAAGAAGGCCUUCAGGUUGUAAAGGACUUUUGUCAGGGAAGAAAAGGCUGUUGCUAAUAUCAGCGGCUGAUGACGGUACCUGAAGAAUAAGCACCGGCUAACUACGUGCCAGCAGCCGCGGUAAUACGUAGGGUGCAAGCGUUAAUCGGAAUUACUGGGCGUAAAGCGAGCGCAGACGGUUACUUAAGCAGGAUGUGAAAUCCCCGGGCUCAACCUGGGAGCUGCGUUCUGAACUGGGUGACUAGAGUGUGUCAGAGGGAGGUAGAAUUCCAUGUGUAGCGGUGAAAUGCGUAGAUAUAUGGAGGAACACCAGUGGCGAAGGCGACUCUCUGGUCUGUAACUGACGCUGAGGCUCGAAAGCGUGGGUAGCAAACAGGAUUAGAUACCCUGGUAGUCCACGCCGUAAACGAUGAGUGCUAAGUGUUGGAGGGUUUCCGCCCUUCAGUGCUGCAGUUAACGCAUUAAGCACUCCGCCUGGGGAGUACGACCGCAAGGUUG
rnacentral:rRNA from 1 species